rnacentral:rRNA from 1 species
GACGAACGCUGGCGGCGCGCCUAACACAUGCAAGUCGAACGGAGUCAAGAGGAGCUUGCUUUUCUUGGCUUAGUGGCGAACGGGUGAGUAACGCGUGAGUAACCUGCCCUGAAGUGGGGGACAACAGUUGGAAACGACUGCUAAUACCGCAUAAGCCCACGGAUUCGCAUGGAUCUGCGGGAAAAGGAUUUAUUCGCUGCAGGAUGGACUCGCGUCCAAUUAGCUAGUUGGUGAGGUAACGGCCCACCAAGGCGACGAUUGGUAGCCGGACUGAGAGGUUGAACGGCCACAUUGGGACUGAGACACGGCCCAGACUCCUACGGGAGGCAGCAGUGGGGGAUAUUGCACAAUGGGGGAAACCCUGAUGCAGCGACGCCGCGUGGAGGAAGAAGGUUUUCGGAUUGUAAACUCCUGUCGUUAGGGACGAUAAUGACGGUACCUAACAAGAAAGCACCGGCUAACUACGUGCCAGCAGCCGCCGUAA